GGCUUAGAUGAUGGGUCUUA
rnacentral:siRNA from 1 species